rnacentral:tRNA from 1 species
UAGCUCAGUGGUUAAGAGCACUGACUGCUCUUCUAGAGGACCUGGGUUCAAUUCCCAG